rnacentral:tRNA from 1 species
GUUAAAAUAGCUUAAUAUAAGAGUUUUGCAUUGAAGCUGCAAAGGUGACUUAGGUCUUUUAAUA